rnacentral:sRNA from 2 species
UUGUAGCUGCGUUAGGGAUUGUAGUGGAAAUCCUUUUUUAAGGCUUUUUUUGCCUUAAAAAAGAUUGUAGCGAAAAGCCCGACCCUUG